rnacentral:tRNA from 1 species
UUGGGAUAGCUCAGUUGGUAGAGCAGAGGACU